CCUGUUUCAGCAUUAAGAUGGUGUCGGACUGGGCCUGCACUUGAUCACAGAGAAACAGUGACCCCAACAGGAACAAAACUGGUAAUACAACCAUCUGAGAAAAAAAAAAGCAGAAUCUAGUUUUUUAUCAGACUAGAGAGGCCAAGUACUCCUUUCUUAUAGAUAGCAAGCUAAACACUGCUGAGCUAACACAAGCAUUUUCAAGUGUUUUCGGUCUUCAUUCUCAGGUGUGCUGUAAGGAGGAGUUAAAUGCUUGAAGCCAGUCCCACCAAACAACAAUGGACUGGGCCUGUGUCAGCUUCUUGUGAAUUUAAGAGAGUCAAUGGCGGAGGAUGGUUUCAGCUUCUUAUUGUUACACUUUGGGUGAUCCAGCCCAUGAAUGACAGUAGCUCCACCUUUUCACAUGAACACGCACACAAACAGACAAGUAGACAUUUGACAGCUAAGGACUAGCCAUCCACUCCCUGCCACGGUGACAGCCUCAAUUGCCUCUGUAAUACAGUCCAGUAGAUCGUUUUCCUUUAGUUUAAAAGAACAACAAGUGUUCUCACAGCACCUUUUAGCACUUAUUGUGUGGACAGUAAUACUCGUUUUUAGGACAGCAGUAUCUGGUUGCCAUUGUUCAAA